ACAAUCUAAGAUUCAUGUUCGAUAAAUUUUGUAGAGACGAAGAUUGAUGUAGAUUCACCAGAGUUUGUGAGAAACGUGACAUUGCCAACCACCCACCGCCAUUGUAGGGGAAUACAGAGCUACGUGACGGCAGGGGAGAUAGCACUGUCCAGGGUUCUUUGUGUGUGUCUGCGCCAGUUUGGAUAAGCUGUCCACCAUUUUAAUGAUAAGUCCACUGCUGUUGUCUUGUUGUAGGUUGUCUUGUUGUAGGUUGUCUUGUCAUAGGUUGUCUUGUAGAUCGAGUCGUACUGUAAACCACAAUGGUAGUUCUGAAAGAAGCCUUGAAUAA